rnacentral:rRNA from 1 species
AUUGAACGCUGGCGGCAGGCCUAACACAUGCAAGUCGAACGAGUGGCGGACGGGUGAGUAAUGUCUGGGAAACUGCCCGAUGGAGGGGGAUAACUACUGGAAAAGGUAGCUAAUACCGCAUACCAUCGGAUGUGCCCAGAUGGGAUUAGCUAGUAGUUGGGGUAACGGCUCACCUAGUCGACGAACCCUAACUGGUAUGAGAGGAUGACCAUCCAGACUGGAACUGAGACACGGUCCAGGUGCCUACGGUGGGCAGCAGUGGGGAAUAUUGCACAAUGGGCGCAAGCCUGAUGCAGCCAUGCCGCGUGUAUGAAGAAGGCCUUCGGGUUGUAAAGUACUUUCAGCGAGGAGGCGUUACUCGCAGAAGAAGCACCGGCUAACUCCGUGCCAGCAGCCGCGGUAAUUC